GGGGACAUAGCUCAGCUGGGAGAGCACUUGCCUUGCAAGCAAUAGGUCCGCGGUUCAAUCCCGCGUGUCUCCACCA
rnacentral:tRNA from 1 species